AGCCUGAUGCAGCCAUGCCGCGUGUGUGAAGAAGGCCUUCGGGUUGUAAAGCACUUUCAGUCAGGAGGAAAGGUUAAGUAGUUAAUACCUGCUAGCUGUGACGUUACUGACAGAAGAAGCACCGGCUAACUCCGUGCCAGCAGCCGCGGUAAUACGGAGGGUGCGAGCGUUAAUCGGAAUUACUGGGCGUAAAGCGUACGCAGGCGGUUUGUUAAGCGAGAUGUGAAAGCCCCGGGCUCAACCUGGGAACUGCAUUUCGAACUGGCAAACUAGAGUGUGAUAGAGGGUGGUAGAAUUUCAGGUGUAGCGGUGAAAUGCGUAGAGAUCUGAAGGAAUACCGAUGGCGAAGGCAGCCACCUGGGUCAACACUGACGCUCAUGUACGAAAGCGUGGGGAGCAAACAGGAUUAGAUACCCUGGUAGUCCACGCCGUAAACGAUGUCUACUAGAAGCUCGGAGCCUCGGACUCUGUUUUUCAAAGCUAACGCAUUAAGUAGACCGCCUGGGGAGUACGGCCGCAAGGUUAAA
rnacentral:rRNA from 1 species